GAUACAAGAAUAAGUCAUAAUUAUGUAGCCAGACUUGAAAACUCAUGGCGGGCCAGAAGCUACGAAGACAUCGAAGAGAUGGGAAGCAGAUAGGAAGUGGCAUCAAUCAGCUGAGUUUUCACACAAUAUCAGAUUUGUAAACAGACUUAACUCAUUGAGAAGUUAAGUCACUCAUCUGUCCUGCAAUCUCGGCCAACUUGGUGUUUGAAAGGCCAUCAAUGGAUUGAAUGAUGCUGCCCACAUUGGUGAGGAUGGAUAUUCUUUGCUCAGUCUACUGAUUCAAAUGUGAAUCUCUUCCAGAAACACCCUCACAGACACACCAAGAAAUAAUGUUUUACCAGGGGCAGCAUUGGCCUGCCGAAAUCUACUUCUUCCCAUUUUUAAGCAAAAAUCUACCACAGCAUAUUUUGGAUUGAUGUACACUGAUAUCAGCUAUCAUAUAUCAAUCAAUGAAGAAAUACCAGUGGAGAAGUAUUUUAUGUAAAAUAAACCACAAGUAUUGCUAA